UGAAAGGACUGGAGAAUGCAACUUUGAAAAGACCUAAAAAUCGGAAAGAACAUACUCAUUUGGGAAGUCUGAGUAUGCAGUAAGACUGGAUAACAAUCUACUAAUGAUAAAAAUUUCAUCAUCAACCAUUGUCAUCUGGCCCUAACCUGAACAGAGAUCGCCAUUUAUUCUGAGUCUGCCCUUGGCUUGGGUGGGCCUUAAAUCGAAC